AAAAAUACGUGGGCUACUUUUGGAGCCAAAAGUGAGACGGGUGAAGAAAUAAUAUAACCCUUGCCAUUUAAUGCCGUGAAUGUGCCAAAGGGAAGGGUACAUGGGAAGUAACUUGAAGGCAUUCACUACCUCCGUUUUACUUAACCAUGCUCCUGUGUCUGCUUUAAUGAUGGCACCUAUGGCAUGGUCGAUAGUGGCGCAAUGUUCUUCGGAAGGUAUGAAUGAGUUUAGGCUGGGGACCGUGGAGGAAUGUGGUGCAGAUAAAUCAAUGAUCAGUUAAGGUUUGAGUGAGUUUUUCCCCGUGACAACCCCAAUGAGGUUGGUUCUCCAAAAUGUGAAGGGUGGUGAAAAGAAUGGGCCCAACAAAAACCGUUGGUUCACCUCGGUCAUGAUAAGUUUAUGUACCAACUAUGGGUCAUCUAAUUCAGAUUGUAAGUUGUCACAUUCCAGCGUGCCUGUAGGUAAAUGUAUCAACCCGGUGUGAAAUCCCUCAGUCAGUCCCGUAAUAAGGUAGUUACUGAAAUGGCGUGAUGGGUGUAGUUGUAACAAAGCGAAUAAUGUGAGGUUCAUGC